AAUCAACGCUGGCGGCGUGCCUCAGACAUGCAAGUCGAACGAUUAAGACUUCCUUCGGGAAGUGCAUAAAGUGGCGCACGGGUGAGUAACACGUAAGUAAUCUACCCUCGAGUGGGGAAUAACGUUCGGAAACGAACGCUAAUACCGCAUAACGCAGCGGCACCGCAAGGUGACAGUUGUUAAAGGAGCAAUCCGCUUGAGGAGGAGCUUGCGGCAGAUUAGCUAGUUGGUAAGGUAAUGGCUUACCAAGGCUACGAUCCGUAUCCGGUCUAAGAGGACGGUCGGACACACUGACACUGAAUAACGGGUCAGACUCCUACGGGAGGCAGCAGUCGGGAAUUUUGGGCAAUGGGCGAAAGCCUGACCCAGCAACGCCGCGUGAAGGAUGAAGUAUUUCGGUAUGUAAACUUCGAAAGAAUGGGAAGAAUAAAUGACGGUACCAUUUAUAAGCCCCGGCUAACUACGUGCCAGCCGCCGCAGUAAAAC
rnacentral:rRNA from 1 species